UUCCAGACUCCUACGGGAGGCAGCAGUGGGGAAUAUUGCACAAUGGGGGGAACCCUGAUGCAGCGACGCCGCGUGGGUGAAGGAGUACUUCGGUACGUAAAGCCCUAUCAGCAGGAAGGAAAAUGACGGUACCUGACUAAGAAGCCCCGGCUAACUACGUGCCAGCAGCCGCGGUAAUACGUAGGGGGCAAGCGUUAUCCGGAUUUACUGGGUGUAAAGGGAGCGUAGACGGCAGUGCAAGUCCGGAGUGAAAGCCCGGGGCUCAACCCUGGGACUGCUCUGGAAACUGUAAAGCUGGAGUGCGGGAGGGGCAGGCGGAAUUCCUGGUGUAGCGGUGAAAUGCGUAGAUAUUAGGAGGAACACCAGUGGCGAAGGCGGCUUACUGGACAGUAACUGACGUUGAGGCUCGAAAGCGUGGGGAGCAAACAGGAUUAGAUACCCGGGUAU
rnacentral:rRNA from 1 species